AGUGAACGCUGGCGGUAGGCCUAACACAUGCAAGUCGAACGGCAGCACAGGAGAGCUUGCUCUCUGGGUGGCGAGUGGCGGACGGGUGAGGAAUACAUCGGAAUCUACUUUUUCGUGGGGGAUAACGUAGGGAAACUUACGCUAAUACCGCAUACGACCUACGGGUGAAAGCAGGGGACCUUCGGGCCUUGCGCGAUUGAAUGAGCCGAUGUCGGAUUAGCUAGUUGGCGGGGUAAAGGCCCACCAAGGCGACGAUCCGUAGCUGGUCUGAGAGGAUGAUCAGGCACACUGGUACUGGGACACGGUCCAGACUCCUACGGGAGGCAGCAGUGGGGAAUAUUGGACAAUGGGCGCAAGCCUGAUCCAGCCAUACCGCGUGGGUGAAGAAGGCCUUCGGGUUGUAAAGCCCUUUUGUUGGGAAAGAAAUCCAGCUGGCUAAUACCCGGUUGGGAUGACGGUACCCAAAGAAUAAGCACCGGCUAACUUCGUGCCAGCAGCCGCCGUAA
rnacentral:rRNA from 1 species